AGCCAUGCUGUAAGCACAAAGCGAACUAUUCUUUCUCCUUUUACUAAAGAAUACCGUGUGCUUGCCGUUUAUAAUGGCAAUGGCCAAACGAAAAAGUUUGUUGAGCCACGUUUGUUGAGACGUGGA